UAAGAGCACAUUGUUAUUUUGAUCUAAUAGUUGGAGCAUUCGACAUCUGUCUGUCUUCUCCUUCCUUUACAGUAGUUAACCGAUGUCAAGAACAGCUUGUGCCUUGUAGUUUAACAAUUUACGAAAUUUCAGACUUUCCUAGACAUCAAACUGAAGGAUCUUCGCAGCACCGGACGAGUCAACCAUUACAUCUUCACCGAUUCAGAUAUCGCGGUGGUUGAUGAUCUAGGACACAUAUUCCGCGACUAUCCGAAUUUCCAUCUCGCUCUGACCUUCCGUAACAAUAAGGGACAGCCUCUACAUUCCGGGUCCAUAGACGUAAGAGGAACUUCCUAUUGCAGGCGGCAAUGCCACGGAGCAACGUUGUGAUUCUAACCGAUCCAGCAUCCCAUCUCUCGGUUCAUCAAAACCACGUCGCUGUAUAUCCGAUUCAAGGCGAAUAUUCACGCGACAAGCUGAUGCUUCAAAGAAUCAGGUCAUACAUUGUAAGAGCACAUUGUUAUUUUGAUCUAAUAGUUGGAGCAUUCGACAUCUGUCUGUCUUCUCCUUCCUUUACAGUAGUUAACCGAUGUCAAGAACAGCUUGUGCCUUGUAGUUUAACAAUUUACGAAAUUUCAGACUUUCCUAGACAUCAAACUGAAGUAUCUCCAUAGCAACGGACGAGUCAACCAUUACAUCUUCACCGAUUCAGAUAUCGCGGUGGUUGAUGAUCUAGGACACAUAUUCCGCGACUAUCCGAAUUUCCAUCUCGCUCUGACCUUCCGUAACAAUAAGGGACAGCCUCUAAAUUCCGGGUUCAUAGCCGUAAGAGGAACACACGACGGACUCUCGAGGUAAAAAUCGCGCUAUACUGCUAACUGUGGAGUGCACCAUUUUCUUUCCUGAUAGCUGGAAA
rnacentral:lncRNA from 1 species